rnacentral:rRNA from 1 species
UGGGGAAUUUUGGACAAUGGGGGAAACCCUGAUUCAGCCAUCCCGCGUGUGCGAUGAAGGCCUUCGGGUUGUAAAGCACUUUUGGCAGGAAAGAAACGUCAUGGGUUAAUACCCCGUGAAACUGACGGUACCUGCAGAAUAAGCACCGGCUAACUACGUGCCAGCAGCCGCGGUAAUACGUAGGGUGCAAGCGUUAAUCGGAAUUACUGGGCGUAAAGCGUGCGCAGGCGGUUCGGAAAGAAAGAUGUGAAAUCCCAGAGCUCAACUUUGGAACUGCAUUUUUAACUACCGGGCUAGAGUGUGUCAGAGGGGGGGGGAAUGCCGCGUGUAGCAGUGAAAUGCGUAGAUAUGCGAAGGAACACCGAUGGCGAAGGCAGCCUCCUGGGAUAACACUGACACUCAUGCACGAAAGCGUGGGGAGCAAACAGG